rnacentral:rRNA from 1 species
GCUUGACACUGAACAUUGAGCCUUGAUGUGUAGGAUAGGUGGGAGGCUUUGAAGUGUGGACGCCAGUCUGCAUGGAGCCGACCUUGAAAUACCACCCUUUAAUGUUUGAUGUUCUAACGUUGGCCCCUAAUCGGGGUUGCGGACAGUGUCUGGUGGGUAGUUUGACUGGGGCGGUCUCCUCCUAAAGAGUAACGGAGGAGCACGAAGGUUGGCUAAUCCUGGUCGGACAUCAGGAGGUUAGUGCAAUGGCAUAAGCCAGCUUGACUGCGAGCGUGACGGCGCGAGCAGGUGCGAAAGCAGGUCAUAGUGAUCCGGUGGUUCUGAAUGGAAGGGCCAUCGCUCAACGGAUAAAAGGUACUCCGGGGAUAACAGGCUGAUACCGCCCAAGAGUUCAUAUCGACGGCGGUGUUUGGCACCUCGAUGUCGGCUCAUCACAUCCUGGGGCUGAAGUAGGUCCCAAGGGUAUGGCUGUUCGCCAUUUAAAGUGGUACGCGAGCUGGGUUUAGAACGUCGUGAGACAGUUCGGUCCCUAUCUGCCGUGGGCGCUGGAGAACUGAGGGGGGCUGCUCCUAGUACGAGAGGACCGGAGUGGACGCAUCACUGGUGUUCGGGUUGUCAUGCCAAUGGCACUGCCCGGUAG